GCAUAUCAAUAAGCGGAGGAAAAGAAACCAACAGGGAUUGCCUCAGUAACGGCGAGUGAAGCGGCAACAGCUCAAAUUUGAAAUCUGGCCGCAAGGUCCGAGUUUGUAAUUUGUAGAGGAUGCUUUUGGCGAGGUGCCUUCCGAGUUCCCUGGAACGGGACGCCAUAGAGGGUGAGAGCCCCGUACGGUAGGACCACCAAGCCUCUGUAAAGCUCCUUCGACGAGUCGAGUAGUUUGGGAAUGCUGCUCUAAAUGGGAGGUGUACGUCUUCUAAAGCUAAAUACCGGCCAGAGACCGAUAGCGCACAAGUAGAGUGAUCGAAAGAUGAAAAGCACUUUGAAAAGAGGGUUAAAAAGUACGUGAAAUUGUUGAAAGGGAAGCAUUCAUGACCAGACUUGGGCUUGGUUGAACAUCCGGCGUUCUCGCCGGUGCACUCUGCCAGUCCAGGCCAGCAUCAGUUUGCCCCGGGGGAUAAAGGCGGCGGGAAUGUGGCUCCCUUCGGGGAGUGUUAUAGCCCGUCGUGUAAUGCCCUGGGGCGGACUGAGGAACGCGCUUCGGCACGGAUGCUGGCGUAAUGGUCAUCAAUGACCCGUCUUGAAACACGGACCAAGGAGUCGUCUUCGUAUGCGAGUGUUCGGGUGUCAAACCCCUACGCGUAAUGAAAGUGAACGUAGGUGAGAGCUUCGGCGCAUCACCGACCGAUCCUGAUGUUCUCGGAUGGAUUUGAGUAAGAGCAUACGGGGCCGGACCCGAAAGAAGGUGAACUAUGCCUGUAUAGGGUGAAGCCAGAGGAAACUCUGGUGGAGGCUCGCAGCGGUUUCUGACGUGCAAAUCGAUCGUCAAAUAUGGGCAUGGGGGGCGAAAGACUAAUCGAACCUUCUAGUAGCUGGUUUCCGCGA
rnacentral:rRNA from 1 species